rnacentral:rRNA from 1 species
GAUGAACGCUGGCGGCGUGCCUAAUACAUGCAAGUCGAACGGCAGCACGGGUGCUUGCACCUGGUGGCGAGUGGCGAACGGGUGAGUAAUACAUCGGCACGUACCUUAUCGUGGGGGAUAACGCAGCGAAAGCUGUGCUAUUACCGCAUACGCCCUGAGGGGGAAAGCGGGGGAUCGCAAGACCUCGCGCGAUUAGAGCGGCCGAUGCCUGAUUAGCUUGUUGGUGGGGUAAAAGCCCACCAAGGCGACGAUCAGUAGCUGGUCUGAGAGGACGAUCAGCCACACUGGGACUGAGACACGGCCCAGACUCCUACGGGAGGCAGCAGUGGGGAAUUUUGGACAAUGGGGGCAACCCUGAUCCAGCAAUGCCGCGUGAGUGAAGAAGGCCUUCGGGUUGUAAAGCUCUUUUGUCAGGGAAGAAACACCGGCUCUAACACAGUCUGGGAAUGACGGUACCUGAAGAAUAAGCACCGGCUAACUACGUGCCAGCAGCCGCCGUAA